rnacentral:rRNA from 2 species
GAAUUUAAUAUAAAAAUUUAUAAUUAAUUUAAUUAAUUAAAAUUAGUAUAAGUAUUUAUAUUUAAUUGGGAGGAUUGUUAAAUUUGAAUAACUUUAAUUAAAAUAUAUAAUAUAAAUUAAUGAUUUUAAGAUGGAUUAUAAAAAAUUAAAUAAGAAUUAAUUACCUUAGGGAUAACAGCAUAAUAUUUUUGGAGAGAUCUUAUCGAUAAAAAUGUUUGU